GACGAACCGUCCUAACGUUGUUCGGAAUCACUGGGCUUAAAGGGCGCGUAGGCGGGCCAUCAAGUCCGGGGUGAAAUACUUCGGCUUAACCGGAGAAUUGCCUUGGAUACUGAUGGUCUAGAGGGAGGUAGGGGUCUGUGGAACUUCCGGUGGAGCGGUGAAAUGCGUUGAUAUCGGAAGGAACGCCGGUGGCGAAAGCGACGGACUGGACCUCUUCUGACGCUGAGGCGCGAAAGCCAGGGGAGCAAACGGG
rnacentral:rRNA from 1 species